rnacentral:rRNA from 1 species
AUAGCGUAUAUUAAAGUUGUUGCGGUUAAAAAGCUCGUAGUUGAAUCUGUGUCGCACGCUGUCGGUUCGCCGCUCGCGGUGUUUAACUGACAUGCUCGUGAGACGUCCUACCGGUGGGCUUAGCUCCUUCGGGGGCGGUCCAACUAAUAUCCCAUCGCGGUGCUCUUAAUUGAGUGUCGAGGUGGGCCGGUACGUUUACUUUGAACAAAUUAGAGUGCUUAAAGCAGGCUAUUUUUGCCUGAAUAUUCUGUGCAUGGAAUAAUGGAAUAGGACCUCGGUUCUAUUUUGUUGGUUUUCGGAAAUCCGAGGUAAUGAUUAAUAGGGACAGAUGGGGGCAUUCGUAUUGCGACGUUAGAGGUGAAAUUCUUGGAUCGUCGCAAGACGGACAGAAG